rnacentral:rRNA from 1 species
AGUGAACGCUGGCGGUAGACCUAACACAUGCAAGUCGAACGGCAGCACAGUAAGAGCUUGCUCUUACGGGUGGCGAGUGGCGGACGGGUGAGGAAUACAUCGGAAUCUACUUUUUCGUGGGGGAUAACGUAGGGAAACUUACGCUAAUACCGCAUACGACCUACGGGUGAAAGCAGGGGAUCUUCGGACCUUGCGCGAUUGAAUGAGCCGAUGUCGGAUUAGCUAGUUGGCGGGGUAAAGGCCCACCAAGGCGACGAUCCGUAGCUGGUCUGAGAGGAUGAUCAGCCACACUGGAACUGAGACACGGUCCAGACUCCUACGGGAGGCAGCAGUGGGGAAUAUUGGAAAAUGGGCGAAAGCCUGAUCCAGCCAUACCGCGGGGGUGAAGAAGGCCUUCGGGUUGUAAAGCCCUUUUGUUGGGAAAAAAAAGCAGCAGGUUAAUACCCCGCUGUUCUGGCGGUACCCAAAGAAGAAGCACCGGCUAACUUCGU